GCCUUUGUGGUGUAGUGGUCAGCACGCUGGGCGCGUAUUCCAGAGGUCCGUGGUUCGAAUCCCGGCGAGGGCA
rnacentral:tRNA from 1 species